rnacentral:rRNA from 1 species
UACGGAGGAUGCAAGCGUUAUCCGGAUUUAUUGGGUUUAAAGGGUGCGUAGGCGGGAAGAUAAGUCAGUGGUGAAAUCCUGCAGCUUAACUGUUGAAUUGCCGUUGAUACUAUUUUUCUUGAGUGUGGUCAAGGAAGGCGGAAUGUGUAAUGUAGCGGUGAAAUGCUUAGAUAUUACACAGAACACCGAUUGCGAAGGCAGCUUUCUGGGCCGUUACUGACGCUGAUGCACGAAAGCGUGGGGAUCGAACAGGAUUAGAUA